rnacentral:rRNA from 1 species
GUGAGGAAUAUUGGACAAUGGGCGCAAGCCUGAUCCAGCCAUGCCGCGUGCAGGAAGACGCAUCUAUGGUGUGUAAACUGCUUUUGUACGGGAAGAAACACUCCCUCGUGAGGGAGCUUGACGGUACCGUAAGAAUAAGGAUCGGCUAACUCCGUGCCAGCAGCCGCGGUAAUACGGAGGAUCCAAGCGUUAUCCGGAAUCAUUGGGUUUAAAGGGUCCGUAGGCGGGUUAAUAAGUCAGUGGUGAAAGCCCAUCGCUCAACGAUGGAACGGCCAUUGAUACUGUUAGACUUGAAUUACAAGGAAGUAACUAGAAUAUGUAGUGUAGCGGUGAAAUGCUUAGAUAUUACAUGGAAUACCAAUUGCGAAGGCAGGUUACUACUUGUGGAUUGACGCUGAUGGACGAAAGCGUGGGGAGCGAACAGGAUUAGAAACCCUGGUAGUCC